GCGUCCUACAUGGUUUAAGGUUUGAUGCUUGCUGCUCAUGUAGAUGAAUAUUUAAUUAUUUAUAUCACUGAAUUUCUGAUGACUUUUUAUCAGAAGUUAGUUUAAUUAAUAAUUAGGCACUACGUACUGCUUAAACUCUAUUUCCUUUCAGCUGACUUAAAUUACAAGAUGUUGGGCAUUUUCUUCCAUGAAGCUACUCUUGAAUUUGAUAUAAUCUGCAGCCGUAAUUUAAGAGCUGAAGAACAACAUUGAUUUUGCUAUCUAACAAGUAUGUAUUGUUAUUUUUCUACAUUGAUUUCGUUGGAUGGUUUUCUUUAUCAUGCCUGUUAGCUUUUCAUGCCAUUUUGCAUGCUAAAUAUUAAAUGUGACAGCGAAGUAAUAGUGGGCAUUUGUUGUUAUUUGUUAAUGUUAAUACUGGACAGAGCAUGGUUCUGUUGUGGAAGAACCCUUAUGUACAAAAUUAGCUUGUUAGUCUUUUUAAUGGGGCACACUUAUAUCGUUGUUUCUCAAUUUCUCAUCAAGCUGUUGAUUGCAUAUGGUGAUACUGGUGCAAAGGCUGCCCUAAAGGAUGAGCAUGUAUUUGGAUCAGUAAAAUGUCACGUGUUGUAUUUUUUCUCUUUUUUUUAUCAAACUAGCCAGUUCCUAUCUAACAAAAGAGGAAGAACAGCAAUAGACAUACACCGUUUUUAUUUUACUAAAAUGUCUGCCAUCGAAGCAUGUUAGAACUAAAAAUAUGUUUUGUUAACAAUUUGUGCUUUACCCAAAUUUAUACUUUUUGUUCAUGCCUUGCAGAGCAUUUACCUUCUAUAACAAAUAAUGGUCAUCGAGUUCUUAGAGCAAAGUAUAUGCCGUGAUUGCUAUGCAUCAAAAUCAUUUAGCUAGGGUUAAGGUUUCAGAAAAAAAAACUUUUUAUUGACAAUGAACCUGAUCAAAUGUAAGCACAUAAUGGAAUAUCUUUAUGCAGAGGAAUUAUUUUUCCUGCUAGAGGGAAUUAUGGUCUUAGGGCUUAACAUAAUUGCUUAUUGUGUAAUUCUACAGAUUGAAACGUAAGCUUGUAGAUGCUUGAGCAUGGGAGGCAGCAUGGAUUUCUCUAUAAGGGUGUCAGACACCACCUUGAGGUGAGCACACACAUUUACCAGCAUUCUUAUCUUCACCGUGGGACCAAUUCUGAUGCAUGCCAAUAGUAGAGAAAGGUGGGAUCAUGAGAGAAUGGAGUGGGUAAGCAUGUUGUGUGGUGAAGAGUUCGUGACUCCUUGCACUCAUGAGAGAAAGGAGUGGGUAAGCAUAGCGUGUACUUACUAAAGAGUCUGUGUCUCCAUGGGGGUAUAUGGACAAAGUGUGUGCAUAUUCCUUGUAGAUUUUCCAAUGAAUUUUUCCAAGAUAUUUUGCACAAGGCUACUGAAUGUGAACAUUCAUGAUUUAAAGUUUUAUCUGGCUACUUUGAGAUGCUCGGUGCCCUGUUUUCAGAUAGCAUAGCAGUUCAGAGGCAGGAAACUAGCCAUAGCCAUGUACUCAGAUAGCAUAGUGCUUCGGAGGUAGAUAACUCCAAGAUAAGGCUAGGUAGUAUUUUUCUUUUGGGUGGGAGAAGGCUAGGUAGUGGUAGCUUUAAUAGUAGAGAUUAGUAUCUUAAUCCAUUGCACAGUGUCAGGUUAUUUGUUUCUUGAUGACAUAGAGGAUGGAUGUAUAAUUGAGGUAUCACAAUAUUUAUGGUGAUCACAAAUGUCUCUUGUAACACAGUGCAUUGUAUAUGAUUAUGUCAUCUGAUCUGUUUUCUCUUGACAUGGGUAAUUGCACCGCCAUCCUGAUCUUUCAAAAAAAAUAUAGAUCUAUGAUUGUGACUUGUGAGAGUAACCACACCAUGAACGGAAUAAAAGUGGCGUGACUAAAGUCAGUCAGACGGCAGAAACUUUAUCCCUACGAUAGCGGCAAUGAAUCUGGUCAACAAUUAUGAUUGUGCUUCAGUUUAUGCAUUUUAACAUUUUUAAAUGCUUUUGGGAGCGUUUAUAUAUGUUGGUUAUUGAUAUGAAGAGUAAGAGUGCCAAUAAUUAGUUAUGGUCUGACCAUGUAUCUAGGUAGCAAUUAUCUGAAUGUAAGACAGUAACCUGAAGAUGUGUUCUCGUUUUUUGCCUCGAUCAUAUUUUAUGCCUUUUUCCAAUAGCAGCCAUCUAUAGGCUGAUGUUUUAUUUUGCUACCAUUAGUUUGUAUUUUUUUUUAAUUACGUAUCUGGUCAACCUAAUAGAUCAUACAUUAAGUGGUGCAUCUUCAUUCCAAUCUGUUAUGUAGCAUGCUAUUUUUCUUUUCACUGAAAAGUUUUACUGGCAUCAAAAUAUUUCAUUUGU
rnacentral:lncRNA from 1 species